rnacentral:rRNA from 1 species
AGAAAAUAGAUACCCAGGUAGUCCACGCCGUAAACGAUGCUAACUCGUUUUUGGAAUGUAAGUUUCAGAGACUAAAGCGAAAAAGUGAUAAAGUUAGCCACCUGGGGAGUACGAACGCAAGUUUGAAACUCAAAGGAAUUGACGGGGGCCCGCACAAGCGGUGGAUUAUGUGGUUUAAUUCGAUGAUACGCGAGGAACCUUACCAAGGCUCAAAUGGGAAAUGACAGGUUUAGAAAUAGACUUUUCUUCGGACAUUUUUCUAAGGUGCUGCAUGGUUGUCGUCAGCUCGUGCCGUGAGGUGUUAGGUUAAAGUCCUGCAACGAGCGCAACCCCUGUCACUAGUUGUCCAUCAUUAAGUUGGGGGACGUCUAGUGAGACUGCCUACGGCAAGUAGAGAGGAAGGUGGGGAUGACGUCAAAUCAUCACGGCCCUUACGCCUUGGGCCACACACGUAAUACAAUGGCCGGUACAGAGGGCAGCUACACUGCGAAGUGAUGCAAAUCUCGAAAGCCGGUCUCAGUUCGGAUUGGAGUCUGCAACUCGACUCU